UACGUAGGGGGCGAGCGUUGUCCGGAUUUAUUGGGCGUAAAGAGCGUGUAGGCGGCCAGGUAGGUCUGCUGUGAAAACUCGAGGCUCAACCUCGAGACGUCGGCGGAAACCAUCUGGCUAGAGUCCGGAAGAGGAGAGUGGAAUUCCUGGUGUAGCGGUGGAAUGCGCAGAUAUCAGGAGGAAUACCCAUAGCGAAGGCAGCUCGCUGGGACGUUACUGACGCUGAGGCGCGAAAGCGUGGGGAGCGAACAGG
rnacentral:rRNA from 1 species